rnacentral:rRNA from 1 species
UGCGUAGGUGGUGAGGGAAGUCUGAUGUGAAAUCUCCGAGCUCAACUCGGAAAUGGCAUUGGAUACUCUCUUGCUAGAGGAUUGGAGGGGGGAUUGGAAUUCUCGGUGUAGCAGUGAAAUGCGUAGAUAUCGAGAGGAACACCAGUGGCGAAGGCGAGUCCCUGGACAACUCCUGACACUGAGGCACGAAAGCUAGGGGAGCAAACAGGAUUAGAUACCCUGGUAGUCCUAGCUGUAAACGGUGCAUGCUUGCUGUAAAAGGAAUCGACCCCUUUUGUGGCGAAGCUAACGCGAUAAGCAUGCCGCCUGGGAAGUACGGUCGCAAGAUUAAA